rnacentral:rRNA from 1 species
GCUUGUCUCAAAGAUUAAGCCAUGCAUGUCUAAGUAUAAACAAAUCUAUACGUGAAACUGCGAAUGGCUCAUUAUAUCAGUUAUAGUUUAUUUGAUGGUGCUUACUACAUGGAUAACCGUGGUAAUUCUAGAGCUAAUACAUGCGCAAAAGACCCGACUGUUUGGGAGGGUUGUAUUUAUUAGAUGGAAACCAAUGCGGGGCAACCCGGAUUAUGGUGAUUCAUAAUAACUUUCAGAUCGAUCGCAAGAUCGAUGCAUCAUUCAAGUUUCUGCCCUAUCAGCUUUGGAUGGUAGGGUAUUGGCCUACCAUGGCUUUAACGGGUAACGGAGAAUUAGGGUUCGAUUCCGGAGAGGGAGCCUGAGAAACGGCUACCACAUCCAAGGAAGGCAGCAGG